UUUCCGUAGGUGAACCUGCGGAAGGAUCAUUACAGAGUUCAUGCCCUCACGGGUAGAUCUCCCACCCUUGAAUAUUUAUACCUUAGUUGCUUUGGCAGGCCGUGGAAACACCCUGGGCUCCGGCUUAUGCGUGCCUGCCAGAGGAAACAAACUCUGUUUUUAGUGAUGUCUGAGUACUAUAUAAUAGUUAAAACUUUCAACAACGGAUCUCUUGGUUCUG
rnacentral:misc_RNA from 1 species